AGGUCCCCAAAUAUAUGUUAAGUUGAAAGAACGAGGUUUGUCUGCCCAGACAGCUAGGAUGUUGGCUUGGAAGCAGCCAUUCAUUUAAAGAGUGCGUAACAGCUCACUAGUCGAGCGGACGAGCAUGGAUAAUAAUCGGGCAUAAACAUAUUACCGAAGCUAUGGAUUUUAACGUAAGUUAAAGUGGUAGGGGAGCAUUCUAACAGGGUUGAAGGUGCGUCGUAAGGCGUGCUGGACUGGUUAGAAAAGAAAAUGUAGGCAUAAGUAACGAUAAUGCGGGCGAGAAACCCGCACACCGAAAGACUAAGGUUUCCACAGCUAUGCUAAUCAGCUGUGGGUUAGUCGGGACCUAAGGCGAACCCGAAAGGGACAGUCGAUGGACCACGGGUUAAUAUUCCCGUACUACUUAUUACUGUGAUGGGGUGACGGAGUGAUGAAAGCGCCGCGAACUGACGGAAUAGUUCGUUGAAGUACCUACCUAUAAGCUGCGCAGGCAAAUCCACGCGGCUUGGGGAAAUACGAUAGUACUCGGAGACUUCGGUCAAAGAGAUAGUGCGCCUAAGGGCUUCCAAGAAAAACCUCUAAACUUCAGGUAAUAAGUACCCGUACCGCAAACCGACACAGGUAGUCGAGGAGAGAAUCCUAAGGUGCUCGAGAGAUUCAUGGCUAAGGAAUUAGGCAAAAUAGACCUGUAACUUCGGGAGAAAGGUCGCCAGCAGCAAUGCUGGCCGCAGUGAAGAGGUCCAGGCGACUGUUUAUCAAAAACACAGGGCUCUGCAAAAUCGUAAGAUGAAGUAUAGGGCCUGACACCUGCCCGGUGCUGGAAGGUUAAGAGGAGAUGUUAUCUUCGGAGAAGCAUUGAAUUGAAGCCCCAGUAAACGGCGGCCGUAACUAUAACGGUCCUAAGGUAGCGAAAUUCCUUGUCGGGUAAGUUCCGACCUGCACGAAUGGUGUAACGAUCUGGACACUGUCUCAGCCAUGAGCUCGGUGAAAUUGUAGUAGCGGUGAAGAUGCCGCUUACCCGCAGUGGGACGAAAAGACCCUGUGCACCUUUACUAUAGCUUAGUAUUGACCUUGGAUAAAUGAUGUGUAGGAUAGGUUGGAGACUGUGAAGUGGCGUCGCUAGGCGUUGUGGAGUCAUUGUUGAAAUACAACCCUUUGUUUAUCUGAGGCCUAACCCCGUUAUGCGGGGGACAUUGCUUGGUGGGUAGUUUGACUGGGGUGGUCGCCUCCAAAAGAGUAACGGAGGCUUCUAAAGGUUCCCUCAGUACGCUUGGUAACCGUGCGUAGAGUGCAAUGGCAUAAGGGAGCUUGACUGAGAGACAUACAGGUCGAUCAGGUACGAAAGUAGAGCAUAGUGAUCCGGUGGUUCCGCAUGGAAGGGCCAUCGCUCAAAGGAUAAAAGGUACGCCGGGGAUAACAGGCUGAUCUCCCCCAAGAGCUCAUAUCGACGGGGGGGUUUGGCACCUCGAUGUCGGCUCGUCACAUCCUGGGGCUGGAGAAGGUCCCAAGGGUUGGGCUGUUCGCCCAUUAAAGUGGCACGCGAGCUGGGUUCAGAACGUCGUGAGACAGUUCGGUCUCUAUCUACUGUGGGCGCAAGAAAUUUGAGUGGAUCUGAUUCUAGUACGAGAGGACCGAAUUGGACAAACCUCUAGUGUAUCUGUUGUUCCGCCAGGAGCACCGCAGAGUAGCUACGUUUGGAAGGGAUAAGCGCUGAAAGCAUAUAAGCGCGAAACCCACCACAAGAUGAGAUUUCUUUUAAGGAUCGUGGGAGAUGACCACGUUGAUAGGCUAUAGAUGUAAAGGCAGUAAUGUCAUAGUCGAGUAGUACUAAUAAUCCGUAAGCUUAUGUAC
rnacentral:ncRNA from 1 species